rnacentral:rRNA from 1 species
CCUACGGGCGGCAGCAGUGGGGAAUAUUGGACAAUGGGGGCAACCCUGAUCCAGCCAUGCCGCGUGUGUGAAGAAGGCCCUCGGGUUGUAAAGCACUUUCAGUGAGGAAGAACGCCUGGUGGUUAAUACCCAUCAGGAAAGACAUCACUCACAGAAGAAGCACCGGCUAACUCCGUGCCAGCAGCCGCGGUAAUACGGAGGGUGCGAGCGUUAAUCGGAAUUACUGGGCGUAAAGCGCGCGUAGGUGGCUUGAUAAGCCGGUUGUGAAAGCCCCGGGCUCAACCUGGGAACGGCAUCCGGAACUGUCAAGCUAGAGUGCAGGAGAGGAAGGUAGAAUUCCCGGUGUAGCGGUGAAAUGCGUAGAGAUCGGGAGGAAUACCAGUGGCGAAGGCGGCCUUCUGGACUGACACUGACACUGAGGUGCGAAAGCGUGGGUAGCAAACAGGAUUAGAUACUCUGGUAGUC